rnacentral:rRNA from 1 species
AUUGAACGCUGGCGGCAGGCCUAACACGUGCAAGUCGAGCGGAUGAGUGGAGCUUGCUCCAUGAUUCAGCGGCGGACGGGUGAGUAAUGCCUAGGAAUCUGCCUGGUAGUGGGGGAUAACGUUUCGAAAGGAACGCUAAUACCGCAUACGUCCUACGGGAGAAAGCAGGGGACCUUCGGGCAUCGCGCUAUCAGAUGAGCCGAGGUCGGAUUAGCUAGUUGGUGAGGUAAAGGCUAACCAAGGCGACGAUCCGUAACUGGACUGAGAGGAUGAUCAGUCACACUGGAACUGAGACACGGUCCAGACUCCUACGGGAGGCAGCAGUGGGGAAUAUUGGACAAUGGGCGAAAGCCUGAUCCAGCCAUGCCGCGUGUGUGAAGAAGGUCUUCGGAUUGUAAAGCACUUUAAGUUGGGAGGAAGGGCAGUAAGUUAAUACCUUGCUGUUUUGACGUUACCGACAGAAUAAGCACCGGCUAACUUCGUGCCAGCAGCCGCUGUAACAC